rnacentral:rRNA from 1 species
GACGAACGCUGGCGGCGUGCUUAACACAUGCAAGUCGAACGGAAAGGCCCUGCUUUUGUGGGGUGCUCGAGUGGCGAACGGGUGAGUAACACGUGAGUAACCUGCCCUUGACUUUGGGAUAACUUCAGGAAACUGGGGCUAAUACCGGAUAGGAGCUCCUGCUGCAUGGUGGGGGUUGGAAAGUUUCGGCGGUUGGGGAUGGACUCGCGGCUUAUCAGCUUGUUGGUGGGGUAGUGGCUUACCAAGGCUUUGACGGGUAGCCGGCCUGAGAGGGUGACCGGCCACAAUGGGCCUGAGAUACGGCGCAGACUCCUACGGGAGGCAGCAGUGGGGAAUAUUGCACAAUGGGCGGAAGCCUGAUGCAGCAACGCUGCGUGCGGGAUGACGGCCUUCGGGUUGUAAACCGCUUUCGCCUGUGACGAAGCGUGAGUGACGGUAAUGGGUAAAGAAGCACCGGCUAACUACGUG